GUGGGGAAUUUUGGCCAAUGGGCGCAAGCCUGAUCCAGCAAUGCCGCGUGCAGGAAGAAGGCCUUCGGGUUGUAAACUGCUUUUGUACGGAACGAAAAGGCUCUGGUUAAUACCUGGGGCUCAUGACGGUACCGUAAGAAUAAGCACCGGCUAACUACGUGCCAGCAGCCGCGGUAAUACGUAGGGUGCAAGCGUUAAUCGGAAUUACUGGGCGUAAAGCGUGCGCAGGCGGUUUUGUAAGACAGACGUGAAAUCCCCGGGCUCAACCUGGGAAUGGCGCUUGUGACUGCAAGGCUGGAGUGCGGCAGAGGGGGAUGGAAUUCCGCGUGUAGCAGUGAAAUGCGUAGAUAUGCGGAGGAACACCGAUGGCGAAGGCAAUCCCCUGGGCCUGCACUGACGCUCAUGCACGAAAGCGUGGGGAGCAAACAGGAUUAGAAACCCCUGUAGUCC
rnacentral:rRNA from 1 species